rnacentral:tRNA from 1 species
AAGAAGAUGAGCUAAAAAAGCUAGUGGGUUCAUACCCCAUUUAUAAAGGUUCUAAUCCUUUUCUUUUUA